CUACGGGCGGCUCCAGUGGGGAAUAUUGCACAAUGGAGGAAACUCUGAUGCAGCAACGCCGCGUGGAGGAUGACACUUUUCGGAGCGUAAACCCCUUUUAUAUAGGAAGAAGAUGACGGUACUAUAUGAAUAAGCGCCGGCUAACUCCGUGCCAGCAGCCGCGGUAAUACGGAGGGCGCAAGCGUUACUCGGAAUCACUGGGCGUAAAGAGCGUGUAGGCGGAUUAAAAAGUCAGAAGUGAAAUCCUAUAGCUUAACUAUAGAACUGCUUCUGAAACUCUUAAUCUAGAAUAUGGGAGAGGUAGAUGGAAUUUCUGGUGUAGGGGUAAUAUCCGUAGAGAUCAGAAGGAAUACCGAUUGCGAAGGCGAUCUACUAGAACAUUAUUGACGCUGAGACGCGAAAGCGUGGGGAGCAAACAGGAUUAGAUACCCGAGUAGUC
rnacentral:rRNA from 1 species